UACGGAGGAUGCAAGCGUUAUCCGGAUUUAUUGGGUUUAAAGGGUGCGUAGGCUGUGCGUCAAGUCAGGGGUGAAAGCCCGGGGCCCAACCCCGGAACUGCCCUUGAUACUGGCGCGCUGGAGUUCGGAUGCCGUGGGAGGAAUGAGUAGUGUAGCGGUGAAAUGCAUAGAUAUUACUCAGAACACCGAUUGCGAAGGCAUCUCACGAAUCCGACACUGACGCUGAGGCACGAAAGCGUGGGGAUCAAAC
rnacentral:rRNA from 1 species